AAAGCGAGAAGAAAAAACUAAGGAAAUGAAAGAAAAUCCUCAGAGUGAGAAAUCAAAUGGCGUCUGCUUCCUUCUCCCAUUUCUCUACUUUCAGAGGUCCCGAAAAAAUCCCCAAAUCCAAAACUCUAAUUUCCAGCUCCAGAUCUCAUUCAUAUCCGUUGCUGGUCUCAUCUCCCUUCACUCACCUUCGAUCUCAUCAUCAUCACCCGAUCUCUAAAAGCUUAUCUGCAUCGGUCUCCACGUAGCAGCAGAUCCGCACGAGCUCGGACGAUCUUGUUUUUUCGAUUCUUUCCAAGUUCUUAGAGCUUGUGGAGGCAAGCCGUGUGGCCAAGGAAGUCAAGCACCCAUUCAGGAACCUCCUUAAGCAACGCAACCGCCUGUAGCUGAUUAUUGCUGUGGUUAUGCUGGUCAGCCUCCCUCACAAGUCUCUGCCUUAAGUAUAAAACACCCAUAACAAAUGACAAAACGGGUCAUUUUCAUAGCCAUUGUGGGCAUUUCGUAAUAACCUGCAUGACCACAGAUAAUCAUACAAUGAUUAACAGGGUGGGCUGCAGGCUGCUCUUGCUGGAAGCCUAAUUUACAAUUUCGACAAUAGAGUUGGCUACCGAAAGUUCAGAUGAGAAUGCAAACGAGCGAUCAGAGAGGGUUUUUCAGAUGACUGAAAUUGAUGAUAUGCAGGCCCCUCGUGACCUUUCGCUUGCACAAUUUUUAUCAAGGGAAAAGCCAAUUUUCACAGGAAAGAGCUCUCUCAGCUUUGGAGGAUGCUGGCCCUUUUAGAAUCAGCAGCUUGAUCAAGGACAAAGGGUUUCUUUUCUUGGUGUCUAGGCCAAAAUGGGUAUGACAGAAGAGUUUGAAGCUUCUUUACAAGUACUAUGGGGAUUUGAUACUGACAUUUCUUUUGAAGUGAAUGAAAUCAAGAGAUCUGUAACUUCCACAAGCAGGAGAAAAACUAUCUGAUUUUCUGAUCUCAAGCAAAGAAGAUAUUAGUUUCCUCUAAUGUUGUUGCUUUAAUGGCUAUAAAGAACGAACUGAAUGACCCGCAUAAUGUAUUGGAGAACUGGGAUAUCAAUUCAAUUGAUCCUCGUGGCUGGAGGAUGGUUACAUUUUCUUCUGAUGGCUAUGUCUCAGUUCUAACAAUUCUUCUAUGUUUGGGUGCAUGGCGAUUGGAUCUGAAAAUUUGAGAUUUUCAUUCAUUUAUUUCAUGGCUUUCAGCAUUGGAAUUGGGAUGGUGCAGUUGGAUAACUAUUACAAAGAACUUGAGGAAUGGAGGACAUAAGUCCUUCGUUUUGCUGCAUCCAUAUGUUAAUUUAUGAACUCUGUGGAGAAUGUCAGGUGCACUGAAUGCAGCUGUCUGUAGAUAAUUUCAACAUUAGUCAUUGUCUAUAGAGUCCAUAAAAAUGCAGCUGUCCAUAUUUUCAAAGAAUUGCAGAUGUAGAUAAUUUCCAGUUUUGCUUCUUGUACUUUGAUCAGCGAACUGAGGCAAAAUAUUUAUUUCUCGAGAUGAACUUUUAGUACUCUACUGAACCUGGUAUUUUUGUGUAUUUUUCAGAUCAUAUCAAUACCCUGUCUUUCAUUGAAAGUGUAAGGGUAUUGUAUUGACAUGAGAAAGUCCCAUUAGGUUUUAAAUAUUCACCAAUAUUCUGACUGACCUGUCGAGAAUUAUCCAUGUAGCCCUUAAUUUCUUGGCAAUGUCCAAAGCAACUAUCUUCAGUGAAUAUACACUAUAAUUCUGAUGUCAUAAUCUAGUUUGCCAAACUCAAUUUAUGGAUCUGACAGGAUUCAAAUCCAAGCUGCCAAACUCAAUUUAUGGAUCUCAAUGCAGAUGUCUUAUGGGCCACAGAUUUUGGCGAUGUUGUUUUAUUAAACGUAAGGCGUGUUUGGAUGCAAGGCAUGCUCAGUUGAAUUGAACUAAAGGAAACAAAGAAAAAUGGAAAAAAACAAUCUUGAAUCAGACACUUCAUUCUCUGUGAAUUGUGGUGGCACAGAACAAACAUCUGCAUCCGGCAUUGAUUUCUACGGUGACUCAGAAAUUUUGGGACCUUCAUCAUUGUACACCAGCUCCCAACAUCAAUGGGCAGUAAGCAACACAGGCUUUUACAUCUCCAACCCCAAUGGCCCUCAAUACAUAGCAACGACAGAUUCUCAAAUCCUGGGGACUUUAGAGUGAGAACUAUAUAAAAUAGCAAGGAUUUCACCAAGCUCAUUAACGUACCAUGGCCUUGGUUUGAAGAAUGGGAAAUACAUCGUCAAACUCCACUUUGCAGUGAUAGUCAUGGAUGAUUCAGUCUUGGAAAGGUCUUGGGAGGCGCAUAUUUGAUGUCUACAUCCAGACAAAGCCAUGGAGAUCCACUUCUUUUGGGCUGGAAAAGGGACCUGCUGUAUUUCAUUUCAAGCAACUUUCAGGCCGCUAGUGUCAGCCAUACAUGUUUCUCUAGAGUCCUCUAGUGGUGGUUCGCGCUCAAAUAAUUACAGAAGACGCACAAGAGAAGUUAUCGGUAUAGCUAUCGGAUGUGCAGGUGGACUACUGAUACUCGCAUCCAUUUUCUAUCUAUAGUGGAUGAAGGAUGCACCUGACCAUACGCGAGUGCGCACAGACUCACCAAGAAAAGGAUGAUGACCUUUCUUUAUAUUUUUAGCACUAUUGUAAUUGUAAUUGUAAUUGAUUGAAUGAAGGAUUGUAAUUGAUUCAUUAUUGAAUG